rnacentral:rRNA from 1 species
UGCGUAGGCGGUCCCGCAAGUCCGUUGUGAAAGCCCCGGGCUUAACCUGGGAAUGGCAGUGGAAACUAGGGGACUUGAAUCUGGCAGAGGGGGUGGAAUGCCACGUGUAGCAGUGAAAUGCGUAGAGAUGUGGCGGAGCACCGAUGGCGAAGGCAGCCCCCUGGGCUGAGAUUGACGCUCAGGCACGAAAGCGUGGGGAGCAAACAGGAUUAGAUACCCUGGUAGUCCACGCCCUAAACGAUGAUCACUAGGUGUUGGGGAAGCGAUUUCUCAGUACCGCAGCUAACGCGUGAAGUGAUCCGCCUGGGGAGUACGGUCGCAAGAUUAAA